CUCUGAAAAGACUUUGCAACUAGAAAGGUUUAAGUGUUACUCGGCGUCAGGGGACGGAGUGGGGGGAAACCAGACAAGAACGCCCAUCAUGAAUUGCUCCCCACAAAGAAAACAAAUUUCUAGGAACUUGGCCGUUUUCCCCUGUCCCGAGUGGGGUUCCCGAUUCCGUGCCGCUUUGAGGGAAGCUGCUCUGUGAAUGUGAGAAAGUUUUUCCCCCAGCCCCCAUCUACUCCCCACCCCCAGCUAUGAAUUUCUUAUUUCAGGAGGGAGGACAAACAUGGAGACACAUUUUUACAGGAGUCUAAUUGGCCGAUUUUUCUCCGGCUUCUCUUCUCCAUCCCGUCUCUUGGAAUUUCUUGGCAUGCCCUACCUGAGAUCCCCUACGGGAGAUUUCCUCUUGGCUCCUGCGGUUCUGAGGACGUUCUGAAAAGUUCCCAAGCCCCAUCUUUGGUAGCUGCCCAGACCCCAGCUUCCAAUUCUUCCCUCUUCUUUGCACAGGCAGCCGUCAGCCCCAUAGCCCCACCGGCGUCCAGAAGAGACCACUUUUAGCAAAUCCGGCAGGGCUGGGGCAGUCUAAGAGUUUGGAAACAAACUGAGAAUAGAGGGAUCCUAUGUCAUGCCAGCUUCUCGCUGGUUUACGCUCCAACUCCCCUCUGUCCGUUGUGCGAAAACGUCUCCGGGCCGACCUUCCUUCAUUUAUUGCCAACAAACGUCCUGGGAGAGCGGCUACAGCCGCUGAACCCAGAAGGGACUUUCUCCAGGCUUUCUUGGCACCCUCCCAAUCAUCUUCCUUCUCUUGCCCGAGGGCAGAUCACCCGGCUACGAACGUGGGUGACUGAGGGUCAGGCCCCUUCCCGGAACCGCCUCCAAGCUCCUAACUUUUGCCUAAUGUGAAACCAUAUCCAAAGAUGAAUAUUUAAACCAUCAGUUCAGCGGCGGAGUAAAUUGAACGUUAUUCUCCGAUCAAACAGGAGCUUCGGGUCCACCUGUUUGGAAGCUCCCAGGCGGCUUGGAGGGGUCCGGCCUUCGGGCGCGACCCGCAGGGGUUGCCUUGCCCGGCUCGCGGAACGGACGUUUACCCGUCGCAGCCACGAACCCACCAACGACACCAAGCACUGGCCGGGCAGACCAGGCGUCGUGGAGGCGCCCCAGCCCCCCAGCCCCCCGCAACGACGCGUCCCAGGGGUGCGCAGUGCUUGGCGCGGUGACCGGACCCGGCCGCCUUCCCGACCGCGCAGAGCGAGAGGCCACACCCUGGAUCCCAGGCCGGGUCCCUGCGGUUCUGGGAGGGAGGUCCCGGACGCCUCCCAGAUCUCGGGCUUCUGUAACCCCGAGGCCGGGUUUUAAAAUCACGGCUCUUCCGAGUUACACGGAGAGUCCGUGGUCAAGGGUCAAGGGCGGCCUUCGACCCUCGGGAUCGUCUUCUUGAGAAAUGGCUGAGAGCUAAGCCUAGAGCUGCGCAGGGAAGGGAGCCAAAGAGCUGGCGCCGAGCGCGAAGGGCCGGGAGGCGCGGGGAGGCCCCUUACCCGCCCCACUGUCCUGCCCGCCAAUGACGCCGAUGACAGCGACAGCGUCGGCCGAGUGCUUCCCCUGCUCCGGGUCGUCCAGGCACCGGGUCCUCCUUCAGCACUCGCAGCACGCACUGAAGAAGACGCUACGGAAGUCUCCGUUUUCCAGACUCGGGGGAAUUAGGAAACGCGCCCGGCGACCCUCGGGCAGUAGCACCGGGCCAGGAGCCCAGGCACCCCUCGACGCCGCUGCCGGCGGAACCGGGAACCCUCCCC
rnacentral:lncRNA from 1 species